rnacentral:rRNA from 1 species
AAUCAACGCUGGCGGCGUGCCUCAGACAUGCAAGUCGAACGAUUAAAGCUCUCUUCGGAGAGUGCAUAAAGUGGCGCACGGGUGAGUAACACGUAAGUAAUCUACCCUCGAGUGGGGAAUAACGUCCGGAAACGGACGCUAAUACCGCAUAAUGCAGCGGCAUCGCAAGAUGACAGUUGUUAAAGAUUUAUCGCUUGAAGAGGAGCUUGCGGCAGAUUAGCUAGUUGGUAAGGUAAUGGCUUACCAAGGCUACGAUCUGUAACCGGUCUAAGAGGACGGUCGGUCACACUGACACUGAAUAACGGGUCAGACUCCUACGGGAGGCAGCAGUCGGGAAUUUUGGGCAAUGGGCGAAAGCCUGACCCAGCAACGCCGCGUGAAGGAUGAAGUAUUUCGGUA